rnacentral:rRNA from 1 species
UGGGGAAUAUUGGACAAUGGGCGCAAGCCUGAUCCAGCCAUGCCGCGUGUGUGAAGAAGGCCUUUUGGUUGUAAAGCACUUUAAGCGAGGAGGAGGCUACUUGGAUUAAUACUCUAGGAUAGUGGACGUUACUCGCAGAAUAAGCACCGGCUAACUCUGUGCCAGCAGCCGCGGUAAUACAGAGGGUGCGAGCGUUAAUCGGAUUUACUGGGCGUAAAGCGUGCGUAGGCGGCUUCUUAAGUCGGAUGUGAAAUCCCUGAGCUUAACUGAGGAAUGGCAUUCGAUACUGGGAAGCUAGAGUAUGGGAGAGGAUGGUAGAAUUCCAGGUGUAGCGGUGAAAUGCGUAGAGAUCUGGAGGAAUACCGAUGGCGAAGGCAGCCAUCUGGCCUAAUACUGACGCUGAGGUACGAAAGCAUGGGGAGCAAACAGG